GGUUAAGCGACUAAGCGUACACGGUGGAUGCCCUGGCAGUCAGAGGCGAUGAAGGACGUGCUAAUCUGCGAUAAGCGUCGGUAAGGUGAUAUGAACCGUUAUAACCGGCGAUUUCCGAAUGGGGAAACCCAGUGUGAUUCGUCACACUAUCAUUAACUGAAUCCAUAGGUUAAUGAGGCGAACCGGGGGAACUGAAACAUCUAAGUACCCCGAGGAAAAGAAAUCAACCGAGAUUCCCCCAGUAGCGGCGAGCGAACGGGGAGCAGCCCAGAGCCUGAAUCAGUGUGUGUGUUAGUGGAAGCGUCUGGAAAGGCGCGUGAUACAGGGUGACAGCCCCGUACACAAAAAUGCACAUGCUGUGAGCUCGAUGAGUAGGGCGGGACACGUGGUAUCCUGUCUGAAUAUGGGGGGACCAUCCUCCAAGGCUAAAUACUCCUGACUGACCGAUAGUGAACCAGUACCGUGAGGGAAAGGCGAAAAGAACCCCGGCGAGGGGAGUGAAAAAGAACCUGAAACCGUGUACGUACAAGCAGUGGGAGCACGCUUAGGCGUGUGACUGCGUACCUUUUGUAUAAUGGGUCAGCGACUUAUAUUCUGUAGCAAGGUUAACCGAAUAGGGGAGCCGAAGGGAAACCGAGUCUUAACUGGGCGUUAAGUUGCAGGGUAUAGACCCGAAACCCGGUGAUCUAGCCAUGGGCAGGUUGAAGGUUGGGUAACACUAACUGGAGGACCGAACCGACUAAUGUUGAAAAAUUAGCGGAUGACUUGUGGCUGGGGGUGAAAGGCCAAUCAAACCGGGAGAUAGCUGGUUCUCCCCGAAAGCUAUUUAGGUAGCGCCUCGUGAAUUCAUCUCCGGGGGUAGAGCACUGUUUCGGCAAGGGGGUCAUCCCGACUUACCAACCCGAUGCAAACUGCGAAUACCGGAGAAUGUUAUCACGGGAGACACACGGCGGGUGCUAACGUCCGUCGUGAAGAGGGAAACAACCCAGACCGCCAGCUAAGGUCCCAAAGUCAUGGUUAAGUGGGAAACGAUGUGGGAAGGCCCAGACAGCCAGGAUGUUGGCUUAGAAGCAGCCAUCAUUUAAAGAAAGCGUAAUAGCUCACUGGUCGAGUCGGCCUGCGCGGAAGAUGUAACGGGGCUAAACCAUGCACCGAAGCUGCGGCAGCGACGCUUAUGCGUUGUUGGGUAGGGGAGCGUUCUGUAAGCCUGUGAAGGUGUACUGUGAGGUAUGCUGGAGGUAUCAGAAGUGCGAAUGCUGACAUAAGUAACGAUAAAGCGGGUGAAAAGCCCGCUCGCCGGAAGACCAAGGGUUCCUGUCCAACGUUAAUCGGGGCAGGGUGAGUCGACCCCUAAGGCGAGGCCGAAAGGCGUAGUCGAUGGGAAACAGGUUAAUAUUCCUGUACUUGGUGUUACUGCGAAGGGGGGACGGAGAAGGCUAUGUUGGCCGGGCGACGGUUGUCCCGGUUUAAGCGUGUAGGCUGGUUUUCCAGGCAAAUCCGGAAAAUCAAGGCUGAGGCGUGAUGACGAGGCACUACGGUGCUGAAGCAACAAAUGCCCUGCUUCCAGGAAAAGCCUCUAAGCAUCAGGUAACAUCAAAUCGUACCCCAAACCGACACAGGUGGUCAGGUAGAGAAUACCAAGGCGCUUGAGAGAACUCGGGUGAAGGAACUAGGCAAAAUGGUGCCGUAACUUCGGGAGAAGGCACGCUGAUAUGUAGGUGAAGUCCCUCGCGGAUGGAGCUGAAAUCAGUCGAAGAUACCAGCUGGCUGCAACUGUUUAUUAAAAACACAGCACUGUGCAAACACGAAAGUGGACGUAUACGGUGUGACGCCUGCCCGGUGCCGGAAGGUUAAUUGAUGGGGUUAGCGCAAGCGAAGCUCUUGAUCGAAGCCCCGGUAAACGGCGGCCGUAACUAUAACGGUCCUAAGGUAGCGAAAUUCCUUGUCGGGUAAGUUCCGACCUGCACGAAUGGCGUAAUGAUGGCCAGGCUGUCUCCACCCGAGACUCAGUGAAAUUGAACUCGCUGUGAAGAUGCAGUGUACCCGCGGCAAGACGGAAAGACCCCGUGAACCUUUACUAUAGCUUGACACUGAACAUUGAGCCUUGAUGUGUAGGAUAGGUGGGAGGCUUUGAAGUGUGGACGCCAGUCUGCAUGGAGCCGACCUUGAAAUACCACCCUUUAAUGUUUGAUGUUCUAACGUGGACCCGUAAUCCGGGUUGCGGACAGUGUCUGGUGGGUAGUUUGACUGGGGCGGUCUCCUCCUAAAGAGUAACGGAGGAGCACGAAGGUUGGCUAAUCCUGGUCGGACAUCAGGAGGUUAGUGCAAUGGCAUAAGCCAGCUUGACUGCGAGCGUGACGGCGCGAGCAGGUGCGAAAGCAGGUCAUAGUGAUCCGGUGGUUCUGAAUGGAAGGGCCAUCGCUCAACGGAUAAAAGGUACUCCGGGGAUAACAGGCUGAUACCGCCCAAGAGUUCAUAUCGACGGCGGUGUUUGGCACCUCGAUGUCGGCUCAUCACAUCCUGGGGCUGAAGUAGGUCCCAAGGGUAUGGCUGUUCGCCAUUUAAAGUGGUACGCGAGCUGGGUUUAGAACGUCGUGAGACAGUUCGGUCCCUAUCUGCCGUGGGC
rnacentral:rRNA from 1 species